UGGGGAAUUUUGGACAAUGGGCGAAAGCCUGAUCCAGCAAUGCCGCGUGUGUGAAGAAGGCCUUCGGGUUGUAAAGCACUUUUGUCCGGAAAGAAAUCCUUGGCUCUAAUACAGUCGGGGGAUGACGGUACCGGAAGAAUAAGCACCGGCUAACUACGUGCCAGCAGCCGCGGUAAUACGUAGGGUGCAAGCGUUAAUCGGAAUUACUGGGCGUAAAGCGUGCGCAGGCGGUUUGCUAAGACCGAUGUGAAAUCCCCGGGCUCAACCUGGGAACUGCAUUGGUGACUGGCAGGCUAGAGUAUGGCAGAGGGGGGUAGAAUUCCACGUGUAGCAGUGAAAUGCGUAGAGAUGUGGAGGAAUACCGAUGGCGAAGGCAGCCCCCUGGGCCAAUACUGACGCUCAUGCACGAAAGCGUGGGGAGCAAACAGGAUUAGAUACCCUGGUAGUCCACGCCCUAAACGAUGUCAACUAGUUGUUGGGGAUUCAUUUCCUUAGUAACGUAGCUAACGCGUGAAGUUGACCGCCUGGGGAGUACGGUCGCAAGAUUAAAA
rnacentral:rRNA from 1 species